rnacentral:rRNA from 1 species
UAAUACCCAAUCCUGACACAGGGAGGUAGUGACAAGAAAUAACAAUACGGGGCUUGAAGUCUUGUAAUUGGAAUGAUGGGAAUUUAAACCCCUUCCAGAGUAUCAAUUGGAGGGCAAGUCUGGUGCCAGCAGCCGCGGUAAUUCCAGCUCCAAUAGCGUAUAUUAAACUUGUUGCAGUUAAAAAGCUCGUAGUUGAAUUUCUGCUGCAUCGUGGUUCUUCGCUAUGUCGAGUGAUCUUCGUUGUGGCUUAGUUGGGGCAUGUUUUCAUGACUCGACGUUUACUUUGAGAAAAUUAGAGUGCUUCAAGCAGGCUUUUGCCUUGAAUACUUUAGCAUGGAAUAAUGGAGUAGGACUUUGGUUCUAUUUUGUUGGUUUUAGGAGCCGGAGUAAUGGUUAAUAGGAACAGUUGGGGGCAUUCGUAUUUAAA